CUUGAACUUUAUAAGAGGUCCAGCCUGCCCAGUGACUCUGUUCAACGGCCGCGGUAUCCUAACCGUGCGAAGGUAGCGUAAUCACUUGUUCUUUAAAUGUGGACUAGUAUGAAUGGCACUACGAGGGUUAUACUGUCUCCUUUUUCUAAUCAGUGAAACUAAUUUUCCCGUGAAGAAGCGGGAAUACAACUAUAAGACGAGAAGACCCUAUGGAGCUUUAAACAACCUAGCAAUUACUUCUAAAUUAUAAAUUUCAGAAUACUCAUUUUUUAAGCAAUAUGUCUGCAAGUUUUUGGUUGGGGUGACCAUGGAGAAUAACACAACCUCCAUAUUGAAUGAAUUUUUAUUCUAAGCUAAAAAUUACUAAUUAAAGCAUCAACACACUGACAUUUAUUGACCCA
rnacentral:rRNA from 1 species